GCAUAAUGUCAGGAACUGAAGCCACACAGCUACACCGACUUCAGCCAUAAUUAACCCAUAAUUAUAAUUUACAACAUGUGCUUUUGUUACUGUGACAUUUAAAAAAAUCCAUCUAAAGACCAAUGGACCCCAAGGAACACAAGCUGUGCGGAUUUAGAGAAACGCUAAUAAUGUCUUGCUUAAAAGGUUUAAAAGAUGGCGCCGUUGUCAACCCUAAAAUAAGGUGCUUAUUGAGGGAAUGGACCAGUUCUUUGGAUUUCCUUUGGACAAACUAAAGUGAGUCACCCUGUGAAGGUCAGCAAAUGGCGACCCUGUUUACUGAGCUUUCGUGCCCACCAAGAGGUCUUGAUCCUGGCUUCCACUCCAGCUCUCGUGGUUCAGUGAUCUGCACAGCAGGACCAGAGGGCAGCUGCAUCAAGACUUGCAUCAGGCCAGCCAUGUUAAAAGGUGAUGCUGACGUGCGUGGCCAAUCGGAUCAAGCGGAUGCACUGAUUUUGACUUGAGGGAAGAGCUACAGUUACUCAUGCGGAUGGACUGAUGCCAUAGCGAGAGAGCCGACUGGUGGAGGUAGGAUAUGAGUCUCUCUGUCAGCAGCAGAGGAGAGGGGGAGUCAGGUCUAAUGAGGAGAGACAUUUUUGCCUUUCCCUCUCUUCCCCUCAGUCACAUAUCAGAGGAUUGAAAGCCGUGAUGAAUCCACACCUUACAUACCUCCAGCACACACACUA